GACGAACCGUGCGAACGUUGUUCGGAUUCACUGGGCUUAAAGGGCGCGUAGGCGGACUCGCAGGUCUGUGGUGAAAGCCCCCAGCUCAACUGGGGAAGUGCCGUGGAUACUGCAAGUCUGGAGGAGGGUAGGGGCAUCUGGAACGCUGGGUGGAGCGGUGAAAUGCGUUGAUAUCCAGCGGAACUCCGGUGGCGAAGGCGAGGUGCUGGACCCUUUCUGACGCUGAGGCGCGAAAGCCAGGGGAGCAAACGGG
rnacentral:rRNA from 1 species